rnacentral:rRNA from 1 species
UACGUAGGGUGCAAGCGUUGUUCGGAAUCACUGGGCGUAAAGGGAGCGUAGGCGGAACCGUAAGUUAGAAGUUUAAUACCCGGGCUUAACCCGGGGCUUGCUUUUAAUACUGCGGUCCUUGAGUUUGGAAGAGGGAGAUGGAAUUCCAGGUGUAGCGGUGGAAUGCGUAGAUAUCUGGAAGAACACCAGUAGCGAAGGCGGUCUCCUGGUCCUAUACUGACGCUGAGGCUCGAAAGCUAGGGGAGCAAAC